rnacentral:rRNA from 1 species
UACGUAGGGUGCAGGCGUUAAUCGGAAUUACUGGGCGUAAAGCGUGCGCAGGCGGUUUCUUAAGUCAGAUGUGAAAUUCCUGGGCUUAACCUGGGGGCUGCAUUUGAUACGUGUGGGCUUGAGUGGGGAAGAGGGUCGUGGAAUUCCCAGUGUAGAGGUGAAAUUCGUAGAUAUUGGGAAGAACACCGGUGGCGAAGGCGGCGACCUGGUCCUUGACUGACGCUGAGGCGCGAAAGCGUGGGGAGCAAACAGG